rnacentral:rRNA from 1 species
UCCUACGGGACGCAGCAGUCGGGAAUAUUGCGCAAUGGAGGAAACUCUGACGCAGUGACGCCGCGUAUAGGAAGAAGGUUUUCGGAUUGUAAACUAUUGUCAUUAGGGAAGAUAAAAGACUGUACCUAAGGAGGAAGCCCCGGCUAACUACGUGCCAGCAGCCGCGGUAAUACGUAGGGGGCAAGCGUUAUCCGGAUUCACUGGGUGUAAAGGGAGCGUAGACGGCCAUGCAAGCCUGGAGUGAAAGCCCGGGGCCCAACCCCGGGACUGCUCUGGGAACUGUGCGGCUGGAGUGAGGGAGGGGG